rnacentral:rRNA from 1 species
UGGGGAAUAUUGCACAAUGGGCGCAAGCCUGAUGCAGCCAUGCCGCGUGUAUGAAGAAGGCCUUCGGGUUGUAAAGUACUUUCAGUCGGGAGGAAGGUGGUAAGGUUAAUAACCUUAUCAAUUGACGUUACCGACAGAAGAAGCACCGGCUAACUCCGUGCCAGCAGCCGCGGUAAUACGGAGGGUGCAAGCGUUAAUCGGAAUUACUGGGCGUAAAGCGCACGCAGGCGGUUGAUUGAGUCAGAUGUGAAAUCCCCGGGCUUAACCCGGGAAUUGCAUCUGAUACUGGUCAGCUAGAGUCUUGUAGAGGGGGGUAGAAUUCCAUGUGUAGCGGUGAAAUGCGUAGAGAUCUGGAGGAAUACCGGUGGCGAAGGCGGCCCCCUGGACGAAGACUGACGCUCAGGUGCGAAAGCGUGGGGAGCAAACAGG